GUAACGUUGAUUGCUUAUUGCACCACAUGUGUUUUUCUUUGAAACAAACUUGCUUUGGCGGUGGGCCCAGCCUGCCGCCAGAGGUCUAAACUUACAACCAAUUUUUUAUCAACUUGUCACACCAGAUUAUUACUUAAUAGUCAAAACUUUCAACAACGGAUCUCUUGGUUCUCGCAUCGAUGAAGAACGCAGCGAAAUGCGAUACGUAAUAUGAAUUGCAGAUAUUCGUGAAUCAUCGAAUCUUUGAACGCACAUUGCGCCCUCUGGUAUUCCGGAGGGCAUGCCUGUUUGAGCGUCGUUUCUCCCUCAAACCGCUGGGUUUGGUGUUGAGCAAUACGACUUGGGUUUGCUUGAAAGACGGUAGUGGUAAGGCGGGAUCGCUUUGACAAUGGCUUAGGUCUAACCAAAAACAUUGCUUGCGGCGGUAACGUCCACCACGUAUAUCUUCAAACUUUGACCUCAAAUCAGGUAGGACUACCCGCUGAACUUAAGCAUAUCAAAAA
rnacentral:rRNA from 1 species